AUUGAACGCUGGCGGCAUGCUUUACACAUGCAAGUCGAACGGAGUGGCGAACGGGUGAGUAAUAUUUCGGAACGUACCGAGUAAUGGGGGAUAACCAAUCGAAAGAUUGCCUAAUACCGCAUAUUAUUCGAGCGGCCGAUAACUGAUUAGCUAGUUGGUGGGGUAAAGGCCUACCAAGGCGACGACCAGUCGCGGGUCUGAGAGGACGAUCAGCGACAGUGGGACUGAGACACGGCCCAGACUCCUACGGGAGGUAGCAGUGGGGAAUUGUGGACAAUGGGGGCAACCCUGAUCCAGCCAGGCCGCGUGUAUGAAGAAGGCCUUCGGGUUGUAAAGCACUUUUGGCAGGAAAGCGGUACCUGCAGAAUAAGCACCGGCUAACUACGUGCCAGUCGCCGAGGUAAUAC
rnacentral:rRNA from 1 species